rnacentral:rRNA from 1 species
CACAUAGUUAGCCGUGGCUUCCUCCUUGGGUACCGUCAUUAUCGUCCCCAAAGACAGAGCUUUACAACCCGAAGGCCUUCAUCACUCACGCGGCGUUGCUGCAUCAGGGUUUCCCCCAUUGUGCAAUAUUCCCCACUGCUGCCUCCCGUAGGAGUCUGGGCCGUGUCUCAGUCCCAAUGUGGCCGAUCACCCUCUCAGGUCGGCUACGCAUCGUCGCCUUGGUGAGCCGUUACCUCACCAACUAGCUAAUGCGCCGCGGGUCCAUCUUAUAGCGGAUUGCUCCUUUGGUUAUCGAUCCAUGCGAAUCAACAACUUUAUGCGGUAUUAAUCUUCCUUUCGGAAGGCUAUCCCCCUCUAUAAGGCAGGUUACCCACGUGUUACUCACCCGUCCGCCGCUAAUCCGUUCCCGAAGGAACUUCAUCGCUCGACUUGCAUGUGUUAGGCACGCCGCCAGCGUCGUCUCGUAGCGACGAGUCAACUAC